rnacentral:misc_RNA from 1 species
CUAAAACCAAAAAUCUCUCAAUUCUUCCGUUUCCCUCUGAAAUAUUAAAAAUUGUUAUUGUUCUAUUUUCAUCAAUUCAAAUUUUAAUUCUUCAGAUCUCUGAUUCAAUUCAUGGACUCGCCUUCCCUUGAGGAUCACGCUCGAAUCGCUAUUGCCGGAGAGACGUCUAUUAGAAGGGACACUUUUACAGAACAGCCUCUUUCGCCCAAAGAUGAAAGGAUUGUUUCAGCAAAUCCUUCUCCGGAUGCAGCCAUCAUAGGGCCAUCAAGAGAUGUUACAGACCAACCACAAUCUUCUGAUGCUGGUGGAGAUCUUAGUAUUCUACCUCCGCACAAUACUUAUGCUUCACAUGAACAGAUGUUAUCAUAUGGCAGUUAUGGCAAUAGUGCCAGUGCUUG